ACGCUCGACACCUACGGGAGCAGCAGUGGGGGAUAUUGCACAAUGGGGGAAACCCUGAUGCAGCAACGCCGCGUGAAGGAAGAAGGUCUUCGGAUUGUAAACUUCUGUCCUCAGGGAAGAUAAUGACGGUACCUGAGGAGGAAGCUCCGGCUAACUACGUGCCAGCAGCCGCGGUAAUCUGAGGCGGGCUGGCAAGGC
rnacentral:rRNA from 1 species